rnacentral:misc_RNA from 1 species
GGAAUUGAAUUUCUCAUUGUAAAAUGGAAAUUUAAGAGUUUUAGUAUUUAGGAAUUUUUAUCUUAUUAGGUCUAUUAUUUAAGAAUUUUAUAACUUACUAGCUUAUUUUGGUUUUAUUUAAUAUUCCUAAUUAGGAUUGAGUUAGAGUUCUAAAAUCCUAAUGUGAUUGAGAUUUCUAAUUCUAUGAAUAAGAACUAGGGUUUCUAUUAUUAUUAGACAAGUUUUGUUAUGACAAUUUUAUGAGAUCAAUAAUAUUUUGAAAAUUAGUUCUCUUUUCCAAGGAUAGGUCCUUGUUUUGUUCUUUGUUCUUGUUUGUUCUACAUCACUUGGGUCUCGGUGGAUCUACACAUGUGGAUUCUAUGGUUUCUCUUAUUCUAGCACAUGCAGACUCAUCUCGCAGAGAAUGAGAAGUAGACUGAGAGAGUUUUCAUGAAGGAGAUGAUGCCGAGGGAAGAUGAAAUAAAAAGGGUCUUCAUGAAGGAGAUGAAAAUAGAGAAAAUGGGGCAAUGGGUCAUCGGUGGUCGAAGCGAUGACGCCGAGGGUAGAAAAGCAAAGCGAAGGAGAUGGGAAAAUAAGGGUCUACAAGCAAGAGGAGAGGGAGGGAGUAAGGGGU